ACAAUGCUUACUCUUGUAUCCCAUCGAUCCAGGUUUAUAUUAGACACAGAGUCCAGUUGGAUAACAACUUCUAGUUAUUCAAUCCAACCAAACCACUUAAUAAGUCUAGUCAACUUGCAUCACUUAAUUAAGGCCCUAAUAUAUAAUAUAUAUUAUUAGGGAA